rnacentral:rRNA from 1 species
UACGAGGGGGGCGAGCGUUGUUCGGAAUUAUUGGGCGUAAAGGGUGCGUAGGCGGUUUGGUAAGUCUGAUGUGAAAUCUAUGGGCUCAACUCAUAGUCUGCAUCGGAAACUGCCGGGCUUGAGUAUGGGAGAGGUGAGUGGAAUUCCUGGUGUAGCGGUGAAAUGCGUAGAUAUCAGGAGGAACACCGGUGGCGAAGGCGGUUCUCUGGGCAUGUCCUGACGCUGAGGAGCGAAAGUGUGGGGAGCGAACAGG